rnacentral:rRNA from 1 species
UACGUAGGGUGCGAGCGUUAAUCGGAAUUACUGGGCGUAAAGUGUGCGCAGGCGGCGUCGCAAGUCGAGUGUGAAAGCCCCGGGCUUAACUUGGGAAUUGCGCUCGAAACUACGGUGCUGGAGUAUGGCAGAGGAAGGUGGAAUUCCACGUGUAGCGGUGAAAUGCGUAGAGAUGUGGAGGAACACCGAUGGCGAAGGCAGCCCCCUGGGCUAACACUGACGCUCAUGCACGAAAGCGUGGGGAGCAAACAGG